rnacentral:rRNA from 1 species
GAUGAACGCUGGCGGCGUGCCUAAUACAUGCAAGUCGAGCGAACAGACCAGUAGCUUGCUCCUCUGACGUUAACGGCGGACGGGUGAGUAACACGUGGAUAACCUAUCUAUCAGACUGGGUUAACUUCGGGCAACCGGAGUCCAUACCGGAUAAUAUAUUGAACCGCAAGGUUAAAUAGUGAAAGACGGUUUUGCUGUCAAUUUUAGAUGGCUCCGAGCCGAAGUAGAUAGUUGGUAAGGUAACGGCUUACAACGGCAACGAUGCGUAGCCGACCCGAAGGGGAGGUCCGCCACACGGUAACUGAGACACGGUCCAGACUCCUACGGUAGGACGCAGUAGGGAAUCUUCCGCGAGGGGGGAGAGCCGGACGGAGCAACGCCGCGUGAAUGAUGAAGGUCUUCGGAUCGUAGAACUCUGUUAUUAGGGAAGAACAAAAGUGUAAGUAGCUAUGCACGUCUUGACGGUACCUAAUCAGAAAGCCACGGCUAACUACGUG